rnacentral:rRNA from 1 species
UACGAAGGGGGCUAGCGUUGCUCGGAAUCACUGGGCGUAAAGCGCACGUAGGCGGCUUCUAAGUCAGGGGUGAAAUCCUGGAGCUCAACUCCAGAACUGCCUUUGAUACUGGAGAGCUUGAGUCCGGAAGAGGUGAGUGGAACUCCGAGUGUAGAGGUGAAAUUCGUAGAUAUUCGCAAGAACACCAGUGGCGAAGGCGGCUCACUGGCCCGAUACUGACGCUGAGGCACGAAAGCGUGGGGAGCAAACAGGGA